GACGAACGCUGGCGGCGUGCUUAACACAUGCAAGUCGAACGAGAGCGUAGAGAAAGCUUGCUUUUUCUACAAUCUAGUGGCGAACGGGUGAGUAACGCGUAAACAACCUGCCCUACGGAUGGGGACAACAGCUGGAAACGGCUGCUAAUACCGAAUACGUUCCGAAAGUCGCAUGACUAUCGGAAGAAAGGAUGGCCUCUAUUUAUAAGCUAUCGCCGGAGGAGGGGUUUGCGUCUGAUUAGCUAGUUGGAGGGGUAACGGCCCACCAAGGCGACGAUCAGUAGCCGGUCUGAGAGGAUGAACGGCCACAUUGGAACUGAGACACGGUCCAGACUCCUACGGGAGGCAGCAGUGGGGAAUCUUCCGCAAUGGGCGAAAGCCUGACGGAGCAACGCCGCGUGAGUGAAGACGGCCUUCGGGUUGUAAAGCUCUGUUAUACGGGACGAAUAAUCUUGUGGUUAAUACCCAUGAGAAGUGACGGUACCGUAAGAGAAAGCCACGGCUAACUACGUG
rnacentral:rRNA from 1 species